GAUUAACGCUGGCGGCGUGCAUAACACAUGCAAGUCGAACGAUGAAACUUAGUAGACUUCUUCGGAAAGACACUAAGCGGAUUAGUGGCGAACGGGUGAGUAACGCGUGAGUAACCUGCCUUACACAAGGGGAUAGCCUUUGGAAACGAAGAAUAAUACCCUAUAAAACCAUAAAAGCACAUGCUAGAAUGGUCAAAGUGAUAGCGGUGUAAGAUGGACUUGCGUCUGAUUAGCUAGUUGGUGAGAUAAAAGCUCACCAAGGCAACGAUCAGUAGCCGGCUUGAGAGGGUGUACGGCCACAUUGGGACUGAGACACGGCCCAGACUCCUACGGGAGGCAGCAGUGGGGAAUUUUGCACAAUGGGGGAAACCCUGAUGCAGCGACGCCGCGUGAUUUAGAAGGCCUUCGGGUUGUAAAAAUCUUUUGUAUAGGAAGAAAAUGACAGUACUAUACGAAUAAGGUCCGGCUAAUUACGUG
rnacentral:rRNA from 1 species